GCCGCCAUAGCUCAGUGGUUAGAGCACUGGUCUUGUAAAACCAGGGGUCGUGGGAGAGUCCAAUCUCAUUGGUGGCU